rnacentral:lncRNA from 1 species
CACACCCCUCUGGCUAAUGUAUUUGAAUAGGCCAGGCAUACAGUAACGACAAUUAGCGCCCGCCGCUCCGCCGCCCGCUCCGCUGGCGGUCCGAUGGGGGACCGCUGACGGCCGAUGGCUGCCGAUGGCGGUCCGAUGGCGGUCGAUGGCGGUCGUAUCUCGACGAUACUGGUCGGCGCGUCGGUUCAAGGUGCCGCCCGGGGAACGACGGUGGCCGCCGGCGAAGAACCGACUAGGAGAAUUUCGGGACUGCAGGCAAUGAGCGGAACAAGUGAGAAAUAUCGGCGAAUGUGUAGCGCGAUGAAAACUGACGCCGGACCAUGGGGUUUUGGGAUAUAGAAAGGUGCUAAGGUAGGACGGUAAGAGGAAGAAAGAGCAUCCCGGAAAAUGGUGAGCAAUGACAGAAGAGUGGAAAGAAAAGACAGACGGUGUGAUUAACUGGUAUAGUUUGCCAGAUGAAGAGAGGAUAGAAAAGAAAAUGAUGUAAAAGAAAAAUAGAGAGGGAUGCUCAAAUAAGUGAGGUGAGAGAGGAGGCGGGAGAUUUAGAGAUGCCGAGAGAAGAGUGGGAGAGGAAUGCCGAGAUCAGGCGCUCUGUGCAGCGGCCGCCUUGCUGCCGUGUUGUGUGUGAUGCGAUCACUUGGCGUGCUGACGUAAGACUCCAGGGAGGAGGCGACCGACAGGCGCCCAGGGAGACAGGGCCUACGUAAUUCGGCGUCGUGGCGUCGCCUCCUCCGCGGGCGUCACCCGGCUGCCGUAUUUGGUCACGUGAUCCGAUAGUGGUGUCACGUGACCGGCAGUAAUCUGACGGAGAUCGGGGCGGAUCGGUGUGGCCGCCCGUGCCGGCGGCGAGCUGACAUCAGCACCGACGGAGGCCGCCGAACGGCGCCCCGACAGCGACACGGAAUGGUAUUGAACAACGCCGAACGGCACUGAACAGCGCUGAAUGGCGCAGCCAACGAAUGACACAGAACGGCGCCCAACGAACGACACAGAACGGAACAGUGUGGCAUUGAAUGGUGCAAAAUGACCGGAACGGCACCGAAUAUUUUGGUGGACAAUGAAUGAAUGAAUGAAUGAUAAAGAACACCUUGAAAUGACUCGGAAAUACUCAAAUUACCACUUGGAAUAGCGCAGCGCUGUAAGAGGCGCAAAAUAGCCACCGUAUACAGCGGAUGUGUCUCCCAAUGUCAAAUAAAUAAAUAUGAUAAGGCAUUGGAAGUCGCAGGUACCUUGAAAUGGACAGCACAGCCCUGUCGUUUGCGAUGACAAAAACUGCGCGGCGCGCGCAUCGACGAGGCGGAACUGGGCAGGGACUGGUCACUCGUGGUGUUGUGCACCGCGGAACAAGAUGGCAUGACUCGGCCCGGUGUCGUACAUGUUUGCAUUAUCACGGCGCUAGCACGGAGCGGUGUUUGCCCGGGCGCCGCGCCGGCCCGUCCCAGACAUGACAGAACACGGGAAAGGAAGGAACACCCGCCGGCGUGCCACGGAAUCGGCCGCCACCGCCGUGUCCAACAAGCUACCCGACAUGGAGAUUGCCGCCGCGUCAGCCGCCUGCCACCCCUCCAUCGGAUAGCGCCGACGACCUCAGACAGUGAGACUGAACACCGACCCUCCCUCGGUAACUCUCCCAGUACCACGUGCGGUGCCGACAUGGACAGAUUUGUCGUCACCAAGCGCCCGCUGCCGGCUGUCUCCUUAUACCAGCGGUGGCCGGUUUUGAUUGCCCUGACAGGGGGCAUCUGUCGCCAGCUUGCGGCCGCCGACGCCGGCGACGGAGAGCGUUAAUCUGGGAUCGAUGACGACGCCAUUGCCAUCGCAUUCUGCUCGUGUAGGAGCCACCGUGCAUGAUGCAACAAGAGUGUCGAGCUCGGGAGGGGUCAGAGGGGACCCGGCGACCGGCUGGACUGGGCUCGUCAGCAGAGGUGAUCACUGCUGACCAAUGGUAGCUCAUUUUGGGCACUUGUGCGUCAUCGGCUUCGGCCGGUGAUGGGCUGAACUGCAUUGGUAUGCCGGUAUUUCGAUACAUCGUGUCGGUCCUGUUGUGUUUGCAUUUAGACGUGUUGCAAUGUCUCAAGGAGGGAAAUGUUUCGGAAAUGAGGUGACCAAGACCAACUGAGCUAUCAAUGGGUUUAUUCAAAUUAUUGCUGAGGCUACCGUUGUGUCACGCGUUGUUACUAAAUGAGAAACUGGUUGGAGUGCGAUUGAAAUUCACCGAUGCGUAUGACUUUAUCACUUGUUUAAACUGGAUGUGUUUUUAUGCAUUUUGCUUCUUUUUUUAUGCAUAAACUGACUGCAAAUUAGAUACACUGGCAUGCCUACACUUUGCUAUGUAAGUGCAAGUAGCUUUUCUCACGGUGAAACUGUUCCUCUGUCAUGUUUGUAUACAUCUUCUACUGGUUCCGUACAUCAACACUUAUGCAUGUAACAUACGUACGAUCUGUGUGACAUUAAAUACUUAUAGUUCUU